rnacentral:sRNA from 1 species
GAUCCGUAACGCGAGCUUAUAACUCGAGCGGGGGCUAUAAAGGUGGUGUGGAACGAGCUGACUCGACCUGCCGGGUUGGGCCAGGGACUGCGGUGCUGGCUCGCCCGUUCCAAGUCGGGUAGUGGGCCAUGUGGCUUGGGCGAAGGCCUGGGUUUCUUGGCC